rnacentral:rRNA from 1 species
GAUGAACGCUGGCGGCGUGCCUAAUACAUGCAAGUCGAGCGAACAGACGAGGAGCUUGCUCCUCUGACGUUAGCGGCGGACGGGUGAGUAACACGUGGAUAACCUACCUAUAAGACUGGGAUAACUUCGGGAAACCGGAGCUAAUACCGGAUAAUAUAUUGAACCGCAUGGUUCAAUAGUGAAAGACGGUUUUGCUGUCACUUAUAGAUGGAUCCGCGCCGCAUUAGCUAGUUGGUAAGGUAACGGCUUACCAAGGCAACGAUGCGUAGCCGACCUGAGAGGGUGAUCGGCCACACUGGAACUGAGACACGGUCCAGACUCCUACGGGAGGCAGCAGUAGGGAAUCUUCCGCAAUGGGCGAAAGCCUGACGGAGCAACGCCGCGUGAGUGAUGAAGGUCUUCGGAUCGUAAAACUCUGUUAUUAGGGAAGAACAAAUGUGUAAGUAACUAUGCACGUCUUGACGGUACCUAAUCAGAAAGCCACGGCUAACUACGAG